CCUACGGGGGGCAGCAGUGGGGAAUAUUGGACAAUGGGGGGAACCCUGAUCCAGCCAUGCCGCGUGUGUGAAGAAGGCCCUCGGGUUGUAAAGCACUUUCAGUGAGGAAGAACGCCUGGUGGUUAAUACCCAUCAGGAAAGACAUCACUCACAGAAGAAGCACCGGCUAACUCCGUGCCAGCAGCCGCGGUAAUACGGAGGGUGCGAGCGUUAAUCGGAAUUACUGGGCGUAAAGCGCGCGUAGGUGGCUUGAUAAGCCGGUUGUGAAAGCCCCGGGCUCAACCUGGGAACGGCAUCCGGAACUGUCAAGCUAGAGUGCAGGAGAGGAAGGUAGAAUUCCCGGUGGAGCGGUGAAAUGCGUAGAGAUCGGGAGGAAUACCAGUGGCGAAGGCGGCCUUCUGGACUGACACUGACACUGAGGUGCGAAAGCGUGGGUAGCAAACAGGAUUAGAUACCCUUGUAGUC
rnacentral:rRNA from 1 species